CCUACGGGUGGCAGCAGUUAGGAAUUUUGGGCAAUGGGCGAAAGCCUGACCCAGCAACGCCGCGUGGGUGAUGAAGGCCUUCGGGUCGUAAAGCCCUUUUUCACGGGAAGAUAAUGACGGUACCGUGAGAAUAAGCCCCGGCUAACUACGUGCCAGCAGCCGCGGUAAUACGUAGGGGGCAAGCGUUGUCCGGAUUUAUUGGGCGUAAAGAGCGCGUAGGCGGCCGAGUGUGUCGUGCGUGAAAUCUCCCGGCUUAACUGGGAGGGGCCGUGCGAAACUGCUCAGCUUGAGGUCGGAAGGGGAAAGUGGAAUUCCGGGUGUAGUGGUGGAAUACGUAGAUAUCCGGAGGAACACCAGCGGCGAAGGCGGCUUUCUGGUCCGAUUCUGACGCUGAGGCGCGAAAGCGUGGGGAGCGAUCCGGAUUAGAUACCCGAGUAGUC
rnacentral:rRNA from 1 species